UACGAAGGGGGCUAGCGUUGCUCGGAAUGACUGGGCGUAAAGGGCGCGUAGGCGGACUGCUUUGUCGGGCGUGAAAUUCCAGGGCUCAACCUUGGGGCUGCGUUCGAGACGGGUAUUCUUGAGUUCGGAAGAGGGUCGUGGAAUUCCCAGUGUAGAGGUGAAAUUCGUAGAUAUUGGGAAGAACACCGGUGGCGAAGGCGGCGACCUGGUCCGAGACUGACGCUGAGGCGCGAAAGCGUGGGGAGCGAACAGG
rnacentral:rRNA from 1 species